GGUAGCAGUAAAUAUUCAAAUGAGUGCUUUGAAGGCUAAAGUGGAGAAGGAUUCAGUGUGAACAGCAGUUGAACAUGGGUCAGUGGGUCCUGAGAUAGGCGAGCACCAUUCCAAAGCGUAGGCGUUGGCCUCUGUUGCUGUUAGUGAUAGAAAGGGAAUUGGGUUUGGACUCCCAAAUCCAGAGCAGUGGAGACAGGAAACACGAGGUUGCCGCCUCCAGUGUCGUAUCCUGGAGGAGCCGGUGGGAGCCCAGGGAGAGCUCUCUUCUUCCUUGUGAAGGGCAGGGUAAACUAGAAUAACUUUACAGUUCUGGAGACUUCUAGUGACUCUUGAGAUUUGGGGGAAGAGGGUGUAAAUCUCCACGACUCGGAUCCCAGCAAGUCUCCCUGGCGAAGAGCCUCCGGAC
rnacentral:ncRNA from 1 species